UUUUUUUCUAUUUACUUUAUCUAUUUUAGAGUCAGAGCCUCCCUAUGUCACCCGGGCUGGAGUGCAGUGGCACAGUCACAGCUUACUGUAGCCUCGACCUCCUGGGCUCAGGCGAUCCUUCCACCUCAGACUCCUUCCUAGCUGGGACUACAGGUAUGUGCCACCACAUCUGGCUUGUGCGUUUUCUUACAUACUGUCAAAAGGAUACUCAUACUAAAAGGCAACACAUUCUCAAGCGCUUUCCUUUUCUUCUCCUAUCCUCUUUACCACACACCAAAGCUGCUCUUACCAUUUUCUCCUUAAAAACUCAAAAAAGCUUCCCCCAACAUAUCUAUCCACUUCUUGUCCUCCCCUCGACCCUGCUCCAUUUUGAUUCUGCAUCAUAAAAGCCAAGUAGAGUUCUGGGGAGGCAGAAGCCUCCUCGUAUGAUAUUCCAAGCAGGUGGAUGAAAUUGAGCAGACAAAGCCAGAAUCCUCUUUUGUGGAAAGACGGGGGCAGUGAGUAGAAGGGAGCAGGCUCAUCUCUUCCCCUCUCUUCCCUUCCCUUCUCUUUCACACCACACGCUCCGCCUGGGUGAGCUCAUCGUCCUCGUGUCUUCAAUUUCCACCUCCAGGAGAUCGACUGCCAAAUUUCUACCCGCAACCCCAAACUCCACUCUGAGCUCCAGACCCAUCUACUAAUUGCCUAGUCAACAUUUUCCCUGUGGGGUCGAAUCAGAUAGGAUUAUAUUCUGCUGUGACUAACAGAGACUGAAAAUGAAGAGUCCUAAACAAAAGACUUUCUUUUUCUUGUGCUGAAAAGUCUGGAAGUACACAGCGCUGGGCUGGAAUGGGGAUACUGCUGGGGGGCUCCGUCUCUUUGCAGGCUGCCCCUCUGCUAUCACCAGGGUGUGUCCCUCAACCAUACUGUCCAAAGUGGUGACUGAAGGACCAGUCCUCCCACUGACAUUCCAGGCAACAGAAUGGAGAAGAACAGGCUGAGGAAGGAGGAACCACAGGCGCCCUCCAGAUGUUUCAAGGACAGUUUCUGGAAGAUGCUACAUAACAAUUCUGUUUAUAUCUCAUUAGCCAGACUUAGUCACGUGGCAACACCUAGAAGCAAGAAAGGCUGGGAAAUAUACUGUUUCUGCUGGGUUACCGCAUGCAUGACAAAAAAGAGAACGCUCUGUUCUUAGGAAAAUGAGAAUAGACGGGGUUGCGGGAGGACAACCAGCAUUGGCUACACUGCAGCCCCACAACCUCCUCAUGCUUGAUGUGGCUGAAAUAAAAAGAGCAUCUCCCCCCAGAAUUUCGUUUCCCUUAGUCUUGUUCCUUUUCUGUACCCCACACCCUAGCAGAGGGGCAAUUCUGUGGGGUGGGCUCAGUGGCAAGGGGAGGUCUCACCCAAGCUUAGUGAAGGGUGAGCAGAGAGAAUUGUGCAAGGAAGCUGAAUUUCCAGGGGUCUGGAGGAAACACUGAAAACCUCAAACAGAAGAUGUCCAGGCGGAGCAAAUGGGGCUGAGAGUUCCUGUCCAAGUGGGCAGAAUGCCAGCAGAGUAGGACACAAGGGCAGGUCUCUACUGAAAGCACCAGGGGCAAAGUCACCCAGC
rnacentral:lncRNA from 1 species